rfam:Erinaceus europaeus unplaced genomic scaffold scaffold00467, whole genome shotgun sequence
AUCACUUCUCAGCCUUUUGGCUAAGAUCAAGUAUAAUAUCUAUUCUUAUCAGUUUAAGACUUAUAGUGCUACUAUGAACAUAGGCAUAUAUGGAUCUCUUCAGAUACGUGUUUUUGUAUUGUUUUGGAUAUAUCACAAUUGCCAGAUCAUAUGGAAGUUUCGUUUCUCUUGUUCUGUGGAAUCUCC